GGCGCACGGGUUGAGUAACACGUUGGGNUAAUCUGCCCUUGAGUUUGGGAUAACCCCGCGAAAGCGGGGCUAAUACCGAAUAAGACCACGGAGACCAAAGUCUCUGAGGUAAAAGAUGGCCUCUAUUUAUAAGCUAUCACUUGAGGAUGAGCCCGCGGCCCAUUAGCUAGUUGGUAGGGUAAUGGCCUACCAAGGCUAUGAUGGGUAGCUGGUCUGAGAGGACGAUCAGCCACACUGGAACUGAGACACGGUCCAGACUCCUACGGGAGGCAGCAGUGGGGAAUAUUGCGCAAUGGGCGAAAGCCUGACGCAGCAACGCCGCGUGGGGGAUGAAGGUUCUCGGAUUGUAAACCCCUUUCGACCGGAACGAAUCUCCUCCUGGUAAAUAAUCAGGAGGAUCGACGGUACCGGGAGAAGAAGCCACGGCUAACUCUGUGCCAGCAGCCGCGGUAAGACAGAGGUGGCUAGCGUUGUUCGGAUUU
rnacentral:rRNA from 1 species